rnacentral:lncRNA from 1 species
GUCAUCAUUCAAAGCUGUAUCAAUCCAUGAGAAGAAAGCUGAGGGAAGGAGAGGGGGACGGAGGAAAAGGUACAUUGUGCGUGCAUGAUACAUGAUAGCCGCCAUCUCACAACACAUUAAUCUUCACUCGCAACAAGAGACAGGCCAACUCCUGGGGGCUUCGCCACUAUAACCCUCUCCUCCUCAUUCAUGAAGAUAAAUGCCCUCAGAGUGAUCAGCCAUCAUGUAUUCUUUAUGCAUGUGCCAGAUGGCUGUCUUGUAAGUUAGCCAGAGAGAAAUCUUCACUAAGGAGAGCAAACAGGCAGGGCUGUGAGCCGCGAGCUUCCCUCAGGUGUGACAUCCAUGCUGCCCAGACGUUCGGCAUGCCUGCUGGCAGGUCAUCCUUCCCCACACAGGGAUCCAGGGCUGAGCUGCAACGGGGGAGCCCCCUUCCCAUGGAGGUCACCAUUACUUCCCCGUGGGCCUCCAAGGCUGCAAAUGACAGGGUUUUCCUAAAUCCAUCCUAAGGAGCGUCUCACGCAAUGGUGGUGAGGAAAGAGCAAAGAGUAAAAUGGGUGUGGAGCUUUCUGGGGCUUGAGGAACAAGCUGUGACAGCACGUUGCCUGGCAUGAUCUUGUGCUUGCUUUCUCUCUUCCUUUCUUCUAGAGGUCGGAUGUUUGUGACCUCACAUCACCCAGCAAGGCACCCGGUGCCACAAAGGUCCAUGCUGGUUUUGGAAGAUGCUGAGCACCAGUUGCUUUCCCCAGCAGCAGGGUUGUUCAAAAGUUGGCUUUGCAGCAUGUUGCUUCCCAGAGGAGCCCAAUACACAUCUCAAGCUCUGCUAUACUCCACUGGGCCUACUGGGAGUCGGCUCUCUCAGAAGACAAGAGCAGCAACGUGGCAGCACAGUGCCUAUGUGGAAGGAAAGGAAAAACUUUGAUGCUGACAAAAGGACAAGCUCCAUCUCUCACAACCAGAAGAGACCAGGCAGCACCUCCUAAUCCUAAGGUUAGCAGGUCCAUUUCCCUGCUAACAUCUCAGAAAUCUGUGCUAACUUCACGAGUGCCCUCCAAACCCA